GUGGGGAAUAUUGGGCAAUGGAGGAAACUCUUACCCAGCAAUGCCGCGUGAGUGAUGAAGGUCUUAUGGAUUGUAAAGCUCUUUGAUUGGGGACGAAUAAAUGACGGUACCCAAAGAACAAGCCCCGGCUAACUAUGUGCCAGCAGCCGCGGUAAUACAUAGGGGGCGAGCGUUGUCCGGAAUGACUGGGCGUAAAGGGUGUGUAGGCGGUUUAUCAAGUUAGAAGUGUAAUACCUAGGGCUUAACUCAGGUGCUGCUUCUAAAACUGAUAGACUUGAGUGUGGGAGAGGAUGAUGGAAUUCCUAGUGUAGCGGUGGAAUGCAUAGAUAUUAGGAGGAACACCAGAGGCGAAGGCGAUCGUCUGGACCAUAACUGACGCUGAGGCACGAAAGCGUGGGGAGCAAACAGGAUUAGAAACCCGGGUAGUCC
rnacentral:rRNA from 1 species